GCCCUGUAGAAUACCAUCCCAAUGCUGUCAAGCAUCUAUAUAGUUUUCCAUAGAUUUCUAAUUUUGUUUCUCAAAAUGUAACGCUUCUUCUAGCUCCUCUUCUUCCUCUUUUUUAAUGAUUGAGCGUUCCUUACAAGGAGAUAUUCAAUGUAUACUAGAUUGUAGAGUAUAGGCUGUAAAGUUUCUCACAUUUUGUACUACUUGAAGUAAAUUUAUCUUCUUCUGAUUAGAGAGGGGCAUUUUGUCGCAUCAUUUUGAUUAAUUCAGUUCAUUGGUGGGAGUUUAACUUACUUGUUAAGAGGAUACCUCAGGCUAUGCUACAUACUUGUAUGACAAUUUGGUCGAGAGGGAUGGAGUAAGGAAUCGAAGAAGGCGUAGAGACUAGGAGUGUAGAGGUUGCUGCAUCCAAGUAUCUUCAGUUCUUAUAUGACUUUAUCUCUUGGUAAUUCAAAUUCGUAAGAGCUUAGGAUUAGAUGCCUAUCCUUGGCAAUUCUUGCUAUCUAUUCUCAAUGGAAAAAUUUCGAGAGGAGGCUUUUUUUUUCCCCGAAACAUCUAACGCUUCAUAUUGUCUUCUGGAUUUGGAGAACACGGUGUUGAGUGCACUAUACUACUCGGGCCAACCCUUGAAUGCUUUUUGUUGAGAUCCUCAAUUGUAGAUACUUGUACCCUUGUGAUCCUCACCUGAAGUAAGCUUUCAUGGAUCCACUCCACCUCGAGGUUUCAAAGCGGACAACACGAUUCGUUUUUGGAUUGAGAUAAUGGAUUGGAGGCUACCAAAAAAUUAUAGAUUCCUGUAGAUGACCUACUAGCCCAAAGAAAUCCCAUAUCAAGUGACCGAUAUCCCUCUCAGUUAUCUUGUACCGUUAUGACACUUUAAUUUACUUAACAAAUUUUGACCAACAUUUCCUGUUUACUGUGCGUUCUCUAUCUUCCCUUUUCUUCUAUAAUUUUAUUGUGAAGAGAUUAUUCAUCUCUCUCUCUCUCUCUCUCUCUCUCUAUUGUUUUUUUUUUUUUUUUUAAUGAACCCACUUUUCUUUGCACAUUCAUUGUGUAUCGUCAAUACUGGCUUCUUCAUUAUUCUAAUCUACUCCAGGUAAACGUAUAACAUCAUUAUGCUGAGGUCCUGCUAUCAAGGUUGUUGUCUUGGGACUUGAAGAUGGUACAGUUUCACUGCAUGAUGUAGAAGAUAGGAAAUUGUCACCUUGCUGCUGAUGUUGUCAUUGAUGAUUGAAAAUGCUUCAAAUGUCGAUGACAAAUUUCAGCAUAGCAUUUGCAGAGGUGGAGCUCAUUGUGAGGAUCUACACUCUCAGUCGAUGGUGUUAAUAGAAACAGUCAUAUGUGACAUGGUCAUUUUCAUCAAAUUAAUAGUUUAUUUUGAAUAUUGAAACUCAAAUACGUUCAGUCAAAUUAAAAAGGUUAUGGUGUAGGUGACUCCUGAAUGAUGGAAUUUGUAUGUGCUUUAAUCAUGGUUGUGGGUGGAAAAGUUCAUAAAUAACUGGUUAUGUCAUUAAGCUAUAGCUGUUUAGUCAUGAGUACGAUGGCUACGAAUUGGUUGAUACUACUGCAUUUCUUUCUUUGAGACUUUUACAAAUUUGUUAACCAUCAUCCGAUUCAUGGACUAUGUUUUGCUUGGAAGAGGGUUUGUUUUUACAUAUUACAUAAUGAAUGUUAUCUUACCAAUCUAGCUUUCUUUACUUAACUAUGGAUAUGUGGUGUGCUGCUUUUUAUAUGCUAGUGCUUGCAGCACUUAUACAUGCUGUGGUACAAUAGUUUCUAACAUGGUAUAAAUAUUAAGCAGAAUGAAAAACUAUUACUAGGCUUGAAGUCCCAUGCGGCAGUUGUGCUGUGUCUCAACCGGGAAGAAGAUGCCCAAGUGAACAAUUAUGCAUCUUUCAACUUAAAGAGAAACAAUGCAGAGAGUUAGAGAACUACUGCAGUUUGGAGGAUUUGGGGACAUCGAAUAAUUGCGAAGGACACUUGCAAAGGAAUUUCAACAGAUGGAACAUAGUUAAGUUUCAAACUUGAAAUCUUAUUUCAAAGUCCAAUGGCUUUAAUAUGGGUUUAUGGAAGACUUUUGAGAUCAUCAAGGGAUUGGGGGCUCAAUGUUUCUUGAACUUCUCCAAACUCUGAUAAUGCAUCCUUGGA